GACGUAGGGCGCGAGCGUUGUCCGGAUUUAUUGGGCGUAAAGAGCUCGUAGGCGGCUUGUCGCGUCGUCUGUGAAAUCCCGUGGCUCAACUGCGGGUCUGCAGUCGAUACGGGCAGGCUAGAGUUCGGUAGGGGAGACUGGAAUUCCUGGUGUAGCGGUGAAAUGCGCAGAUAUCAGGAGGAACACCGGUGGCGAAGGCGGGUCUCUGGGCCGAUACUGACGCUGAGGAGCGAAAGCGUGGGGAGCGAACAGG
rnacentral:rRNA from 1 species